UACGUAGGGUGCGAGCGUUGUCCGGAAUUAUUGGGCGUAAAGGGUGCGUAGGCGGCGCGGUAAGUCGGGUGUGAAAUCUCGGAGCUUAACUCCGAAACUGCAUUCGAUACUGCCGUGCUUGAGGACUGGAGAGGAGACUGGAAUUUACGGUGUAGCGGUGAAAUGCGUAGAUAUCGUAAGGAAGACCAGUGGCGAAGGCGGGUCUCUGGACAGUUCCUGACGUGAGGCACGAAGGCCAGGGGAGCAAACGGG
rnacentral:rRNA from 1 species